AACAUGUACUGGCAUCUCGUUACAACUGCCACCGAGAUGAAGGGAACCGUGUUGCUGUUAAGUGUUGUGGUGUCUUGCGUUAGGGGGAGCGCUGUGUUUUGGCCUGGUGCUAUACCAGUCUCGUCUUCUUUCGUGAAGACUAUCAUACCUCCUCAAGUUAAAGGAUUCUCAUAUUCCAGCAGCCAGUACAUAAAUGCUAUUCCAGCAACAUAUAAUGUCGGAUAUCAACCGCAACUAAGCUAUCAAGUUCCACAAUUCGGCAUUUAUCCAUCGUAUCCUGGAAUACUAUCUUACCAGCCCGCAUUGGCCCCAGCGUACUAUCCAGGCGCUGGAUUUGUGUAUCCCUCUCCAGCUGUAAGCCCAAUACUUCCACCUUCGUCAGUUGCACCAACUGCACCACCUUCAAGGCCACCAACACAAGCUAACCCAGUGCAGCAACCAGGUGGCGACGAAGACACAACAGUUAUAGAAUCAGCGGAAUUCUCACCUGGACAAACACAGAAUUCGCAAACGGCAAGUCAGUUCAAUCAAAACGCAAACUAUCAAUCAUACGAUUCAAGAAAUAUGCAAGAAUUUUCGCAAAUUCCCGCAGUGCCAGAUGUUCCACAAGUUUCACAAAUUCCGUCUGUGCCAGCAAUACCUAAUAUUCCGGCAAUUGCCGGCCCACCUGGGAGCGGUAAUAAUUUAUCCCAGUAUCCUCAACUCUCCCAACCACCGCAACAAUCACAAUUUGAAUACAAUCCUUUUCAAACUCAAAAUUCUGGUUUACCCUCAUCUCAACAGAAUACCCAGAACUUAAACGACGAAGACACAGUAGCAGUGGAAUCAGCAUGAAUUUGAAAUCAACCCAUUGUGUAUCUUAGAUCUAGAUAGCAUAAUAAUAAUAUUAAGAUGAUUGUAGCCUUACAAUUAGAUCUUUUGUAUUAAGAACAGAAAUAGAUGAAAUGCUUUUAGCAGUGCAUUGAUUUUGACUCAAGCCUAUAUUGCAUUCAAGAUCUUAAAAUUUGCGAAAUUUACUAUGAUUCAUGACUAGGUAAAUAUUAGUGCUAUUAUAAUAAAAUAUUCUUU